rnacentral:rRNA from 1 species
AGGACGAACGCUGGCGGCGUGCCUAAUACAUGCAAGUCGAACGGUCUUUUCUAUGGAAGCUUGCUUCCACUGAGAAGAUAGUGGCGAACGGGUGAGUAACACGUGGGUAACCUGCCCAUAAGAGGGGGAUAACAUCCGGAAACGGGUGCUAAUACCGCAUAGUUUUCUUGAUCGCAUGAUUGAGAAAGGAAAGACGGCCUUUGUGCUGUCGCUUAUGGAUGGACCCGCGGCGUAUUAGUUAGUUGGUGAGGUAACGGCUCACCAAGACGAUGAUACGUAGCCGACCUGAGAGGGUGAUCGGCCACAUUGGGACUGAGACACGGCCCAAACUCCUACGGGAGGCAGCAGUAGGGAAUCUUCCGCAAUGGACGAAAGUCUGACGGAGCAACGCCGCGUGAGUAGAAGAAGGUUUUCGGAUCGUAAAACUCUGUUGUCAGAGAAGAACAAGUUGGAGAGUAACUGCUCCAGCCUUGACGGUACCUGACCAGAAAGCCACGGCUAACUACGUGCCAGCCGCCGC